rfam:Clostridium sp. N3C genome assembly, contig: N3C_contig41
AUAAUGAUAGACUAGUAAUUACAAUUGAAUUUCAAAAUGCAAUAAGGGAAUGUGGUGAGAAUCCACAACAGCCCCCGCUACUGUAUUCAUGGACGAAAGGUACAUAACCACUUGACAUAUUGUCAGGGAAGGGUACCUCAAGGAUGAAGUGUAAGCCAGGAUACCUUAUGCAUUUGGAGUUAGAAA